CUUUCUCUGAUAUUUGCCUGGAGAAGAGAAUGGCGUACCCUGUCCGGGAGCAUGUGCAGAGCGAAACUCCUUUUGCACAGCUGUUCCUGAUUAUGUCAGCUGGCUUUAAAACUUUUGGGAGAGCCUGCCAGUUUGUCAGCUUAUGUUGAAGGUUAAAGUCCAGAUUUCCAGCCAUUUAAAUCAAUGUAGCUACAUGAAAGCCAUGAAGCUCUACCAACUGGCAACAACCAUUUAACUCUUUAUACUAUUCUACUAGGUUUUCUUACCCCCGUCAUCACAGAAGUAUCUGAGAACAUUCUCGUCAAACUAUUCUCUGAUUCUCUCUCCUCAGUGGGACAGUUGUUUAUGCAUGGAGUGUUUUAUUUUGAUAGUAGUUUGCCUGAGCUUGAUUUUCUUUAAUGUGAAUGUUUAUGUAUGUUUAUGGAGAAAGAAAUGUUUAAAAACUUGGUGUGCCCUCAGAGUUUAAGGUGAUGAAAUCUAUGUUGCUUAGCUCUGUGGCCUGAGUUUGAGAAAUGGAACUGCUGACCUUGAGGUUUGUCCUGCAGAAGUCCUAUGCUCAAGCUGAUGGAAAGAAGGACGAAGACCUGAAGCUUUAUUCAGUAGUCUCUUAGGAUGUAACACAGAAAGCAGAAACAGAUGUUUGAUUGGGACUAAUGUUUUAAAAGUGUUAACACAAUUGGUAACACAAACGUACACAUUUCUGAAAAACCUGAAAUGGACUGGGAAUUAUGAGGCAAUUCUACUCUGGUGAAGUCUGCUGUGGUGAUCUGGAAUGUGCAAAUAAUGAGAGGACAGAAGCAGAACAAGGAUCCAGCCUUAUUCAGGCAUGAGACCUUAGGACUUCGAUAGCUGUUUCGCUCUUGUGCAUGACAGAUGUCACAAACGGGGAAUUCAAAGUCCAUUGGCCAGAUCUUCCAAAAGUAUUGGCUCAACUUGUGGAACUUGAAAAGUGACUGAGUCGCAGUCCUGAGAAGAAAUAGUCAUCAUGGCAUGCCUGAACUUCUUUCCAGUCAACAGAUGUUUGCAUGGCUGCUCAUUCAUCUGUCCAGAUCCAUGAGGACUCUUGUAGCACUACAGGAAAGAUGGAUCCCAGUUUGGCAUUUCACUACGGAUUUCUGUGCUGACUGCUGCAUCAACUUCACAGGCGUUUGCCCUUUUAAUGGAGGAGGAACAGGGUGAAGAAAAUCAUGUAGAUCUGGUGCUAGGGAUAAAAGUGCUCAGAAAGUUCAUAAAACAAGUUCAUUAACAGCAAUUAUGUGGGUAAGCUCAUAAGAACAUGUAGCCAUUGCAUGUGGCAGCUCUUUUGUUGUUAUGACUGACAUAAAGUAAUGGCUCUCAAAGGGAUGAUCAUUGUGUUGGUUUUGACAAGUUAAAUUAUUCCGCUGGCUUAUUUGGAUGAGUAAGUUUUCAUUUGGUGAUAACACAUGAAGUCCCUGCUGACUACGGAUGCCCAGGAAGAUUGGUGGCCUAGGAGAAAAAUCCUAGUUUCAUGUUGCCAACAUUUGACAUGACACUGGAGGGACUGGUUAUAGUCAGUACUGGUGACUCACUGCUUUCUUUUCCUAAGGCAUCUCAGCCAAAUAAACCAGCAGUUCUGCUGGAGUUGCUAGAUGCU
rnacentral:lncRNA from 1 species